rnacentral:rRNA from 1 species
GAUGAACGCUGGCGGCGUGCCUAAUACAUGCAAGUCGAGCGGACAGACGCUGAGCUUGCUCCUCUGACGUUAGCGGCGGACGGGUGAGUAACACGUGGAUAACCUACCUAUAAGACUGGGAUAACUACGGGAAACCGGCGCUAAUACCGUAUAAUAUCUUGAACCGCAUGGUUCAAUAGUGAAAGACGGCUUUGCUGUCACUUAUAGAUGGAUCCGCGCCGCAUUAGCUAGUUGGUAAGGUAACGGCCUACCAAGGCAACUAUGCGUAGCCGACCGGAGAGGGUGGUCGGCCACACUGGAACUGAGCCACGGUCCAGACUCCUACGGGAGGCAGCAGUAGGGAAUCUGCCGCAAUGGGCGAGAGCCUGACGGAGCAGCGCCGCGUGAGUGAUGGAGGUCUUCGGAUCGUGAAACUCUGUUAUUAGGGAAGAACAAAUGUGUAAGUAACUAUGCACGUCUUGACGGUACCUAGUCAGAAAGCCACGGCUAACUACGUG